GGGUAUUUAGUUUAUUCUAAAACAAAUGUUUUGAAAACAUUAAAAGGAAUUUACUUUCCAAUCCCCA
rnacentral:tRNA from 1 species